GGAAGACGAGAGACAUUUUCCCUUAAUUAGAAAUGGUGAGUCCAAAAACUGUUUUCUGCCAAAGUUUUCAUUCAACAGAUACUCACAGAAGCCCAACUGGUGCUGGGCUCCAUGCUGAGCUUUGUGAGGGCAGGAGGGAGAGUGAGGAGAGGCAACCACGCAUAAGAAGAUAGAAGGUCUGGUCUCUGCCCUCAAGCAGAUGUGAUAAGCCAAAGGACUCGUCACAGUGCUGCAGAGAAGUGUCACUGGAUCAAGGCUACACUAUGCCAUUUCAUAACCCUUCAUGAUAAAGAAAGUCACCGAUUGGAGCUCAUCAAUUAGAUAUGAGAGCCCGACAGGAGCCACAGAGCUGGCUGUGGGGCCACGCAGAGUCAAGAAGCCACAUGGAACCUGCUGGGCUUCACUCUUGUGAUGAUGUUCACAGUAUACUUGAAUGGUAAUGUGAAGCCUGGAACUGCAGCAAUCAUCUUGUAUUCACGAGGGAGAGACCAAGAGAAUCUCAGAGAUGUUCAGAAGUCAUGAUCCAAUGCUAAACAAAUGUCCAGCUCCAAACUUCUUUGUAUGUGACAAAAAUAAAC
rnacentral:lncRNA from 10 species